rnacentral:sRNA from 10 species
GAUUGAAAACAGUGUGAAAUGAUCAAGAAGAAAGAAUCCAACGGCUGCGUUUUAGACAUCUGAACUCCUCUUCUCUAAGGAAGUCCAAAGGGAAACAGCACGACAUUGUCGCAGUCGCAAGCACACUCUCUUCAGCUGUCACAGUUGACAAAAAUUUUUUACAAUUAAAAAUGGGAAAAACAGAAGUAAAAGGGACGAUGACGUCGUCCUCCUCCUCGAUUUCACGACGAAAGAGGUGCAGAAGGCGGCGAAGCGGGUGGAGGAGACGCUUUUAGAGUAGCAAAAAUGAAAUGAAUCAAUUGAGAGAAAUCGUCGUCGAUAAGUCCUUUUUCUUUUUGGCGGGGAAAGCGGCGUUUUUAUUGGUAUCCUACAUUUAAGCUAAAAUUAGGAGCUUAAUUUUUUAGUUAAAAAAGUUGGGCAUUUUCGUUUCAGUAUAUAAACUCAUUGCGGGUUCUACUGGGAGAAAAUCACUAUACGGAAAGAACAGCUAAACGAGCUGUUGAAAUUCUAAAGAGAAGAGGGAAGUCAUUGGAGUCUAAAGUAGAUUCAUUGAAGGCCGUCAUGGAGGAUCUUAGAGCUGAGGCUUGCUUUUUUGAUUCCACCGCUUCCGAAGUAGCUGUAAGAUUUAAGCAUUGGAGCCUAAAGUGGAUUAUCUUUCGUAGCUAGUCUUCACCUAUUACUAUUAUUUUAUUGUUACAGGAGGGUCUUGUAGAGGAUGAUUGUUCUACCGAAAGAGUAACUCAAUCAGGCAGGGUGUUGCCUGAGUAGCAUGGUACGGAAACUUUGGACCUUAUUCGAUUUACCAAAGAUGAAAAUGGCUCAAAGUGAUGGUGAUGAAGAGGAGCAAACUAAAGCUGUUUUUGACAGAAAACAGGAUGAAGGUUAAAGUUCUUAUGAUCAUGAGCAAAGAUAUUCAGAGGUAAAAUGUCACAUAGUCAAAGUAUGCCCGAAGAUGCAAAGAUGUUAAAUCCUUCCAUUAAUGCUUUUGUGCCUUCUGAAAAGAAGGUGAAGUUUGAAGUAGAGCAUUCAUAAAAAAAAGAGAUAUCCAUAGCUUGUAUGUAAACUCGAUAAUAUUCUCAUGGCACCAUCUCUUCUAAACUUUCUCCCCCUGAAUUGCAUUUUGCCUCUAUAUCGUCAUCCUUGGUCUUGAUUGCUGCUAGGCAUUCCUUCUUUUGAAUAUCCAAAAUUUCCAGAUAUUUUGCACAAACACUGCGAUUAUAAAGUGUUCACUAUGUGUACUAAAAUCGGCUUCUGAAUCUUGGAAGUGGUGGUCUUUGGGAGAAAGAGAGAACAAAAGCAACAUAGUAUCAAUAUUUUAUUUUGAACAGUUUACAUGUCAUUGAUGAUUUCAGUUUGGAUUUCAUCAGCUAUUAAGUUUAUUAAGAAAUGCAAGAUCCUCAUGGAAGGGCUGUUAAAUACCUUUUUGACUUCAAUUUUCUGUUACAUAAAUCUGUCCAGACCUCAAAACAAGGAUUCGAUGGUUCCAAGGUAUAUCUACCUUGAAUGUUGGUUAUAUUUUUAUGGGCAUAAAGCGUGCUGUUUAUGUGCCUUUAUGAAUCAUGAUGUACUCUCUAUUAUGUGCAGGCUGUUAUAGGCUCCAUGGUAGAGCAUACUCACAAUUUGGAGAAAAUUUAUCAGGACAAACUAUAACUUCAUCACUGCUUUAUAGUUCUCAACCUUCAAAGCCAGUGUCCAGAUUCAAAAUGCAAAGAAAGUAGUUUCAUGUGGUUAAGAAACAUGGAAAUGUAUGAAAUGUAACCUCUGAGCAGCAGCUAAGGCACUUGUAUGAGAAUAGAAUGUCAAAUCCUAGUUUUUUCACUCAUGAAUAUGACAAGGCAUUAUGUCACAGACUCACGGUAUAAUAUACUCAUUCCAUAACUAAUUCCAAAUCCAAGUUGUGGGAUGAAAGUUUUGUUUA